rnacentral:rRNA from 1 species
CCCUUAGAUGUUCUGGGCUGCACGCGCGCUACACUGGCGGGGUCUGUGGGUUGUGACGUGGCUGAAUGGUCGUGUCCGUUCCUAGCUGGAGACGGCUGGGUAAUCCUGAAGCAGCCUCGCCGUGCUGGGGAUAGACGAUUGCAAUUUUUGGUCUUCAACGAGGAAUUCCUAGUAAACGCAAGUCAUCAACUUGCAUUGAUUACGUCCCUGCCCUUUGUACACACCGCCCGUCGCACCUACCGAUUGAAUGGUCCGGUGAAGCCUCCGGAUUGGCGCGCACCUCGGUGCCGCCGAGAAGUUGGCUAAACCUUACCAUUUAGAGGAAGGUGAAGUCGUAACA